rnacentral:tmRNA from 1 species
GGGCCCGAUCGGUAUCGACCGGGUGAAACCGUGUGGGGGUGGCGCGCCGAGGACGCCCGUUGGCCUCGUAAAAAAUCGGGCAACACAACAAACGCUGCUCCGGCGUACAGCCUGGCUGCGUAAAGCGGCCACGUCCUUCCGGCCAUUGCCCGUGACUCCGUCCUGAAAGGGAGGAGGGCCGGACGGGGCGACCGACACGGGCUAGCGUCCCGGGACUCCGCCUGCUGUCCCGGGACCGAAGGAGCCGCGGGCUAGUUCCCGGACUGCCCGUCCGUCGGCGACCCCGGGGGCGAAUGCCAAAGGCGGACUACGCGCGUAGAGGCCUUCAUGCGGACGCCUUGGGACGGGGGUUCGAUUCCCCCCGGGUCCACCC